UUCACCCCGUGGUGUUUUUCCACAUUAAAACAAUUGGAACAUUAUAUCACACUGUAUGGUCACAUCUCUGCAAAAUUUCCACACAUUGACUCUAAUGAUGGAUUGAUCAUUUUUUGCUGCCAUCAUAUGUGUCUUCUCCACCGUGAUGGCACUUGGUCAUUCUUACGUUAUAGUCAAAUAAACCUUCUCUGUCUCAAUCCAAAUGGGAUCUUCCAGUAUUUAUGAAAUCAGUUUAUUUGAUUUUGAAAUAAAAUGACUUGCCUCGGAUAGAUCGAUCUGAUAGAAUCGAUUCAUCGAUUAAAUAAAUGGUAUUAAUUAAUAGACAUUGUAAGUGGAUAAAAAUACAAAGUAAGCAAAGUAAUACAAAGUAAUAGGACAAUGAUGAUAUAUUUUUUUCGGUCUGGUACUUCGUCUGUUUCUAAAGUGACUUGAAUGGUUUAAAUUGCUUGUUACCAGGUUACCAUACAAAAUGUUAUGUGUGACGAGAUCAUUUCGCAUUAAAAAUGUACACUGAACAUCAGGUGAAUCAUGGUUUUUCUAUUUGUGAUGGAGUAAACCUCUUUUUUACGUGCAGCACUUGAACGCAUCGCGCUUCUGAAGCUGAGACAGCGGAUUGUUUGACACGAGCGCCCCCAAGAGGACAGAAAUAUAGCUCAGAAUCGCGGGAUUCUUGUUUUUUCAGAACACCUGGUGCUUUUCUCUAGUUUAAACUACUACUGGGAAAAGUUAAAAAGAUCGAUGUCAUGUAAACAGAAGUAAAUACUUUAGAAAUUAUCAGAUUAGAAGUUGGUCACAUUGAACGUCCAGUUUCCUUUAAGAACAGAGUCCUGCGAGAACAUGACCCGAUGACGAAAUAUCUUCUCAUAAUAAACCUCGGGACUUUUUAUGGACGUGAAUGCACCUUAAAAGAACCAUUAAUCUGUCUAAAUGAACGACAGGGACACAGUGGUGAUCACAGGGUUCGGCCCGUUUAGAGAGUUCCUGGUGAAUCCCAGCUGGACAGCAGCUCAGGCGUUGAAGGAAGCUGGACUGGGGGAGAAGGUUGAUGUUCACAUCAGGGAGAUGCCCGUGAGUUACGUUAAGACCCAGCAGAUAAUCAGAGAACUCUAAAGGCUUCAACCAAAGUUUGCCGUCCACCUGGGUAUUGCCAGAGGUUCCAGGGUUUUCUUGUUGGAGCAAACUGGACGGAACAGGGGCUACAAGGACAGAGAUGUGUGCGGCUUCUGCCCCCAAAGCUGCGUGGAAGGAGGUCCAGAAAAACUGCACUCCGUCAUUAACAU